rnacentral:rRNA from 1 species
AGGAUCAUUAUUGAAAUAAACUUGAUGGGUUGCUGCUGGUUCUCUAGGGAGCAUGUGCACACUUGUCAUUUUUUGUAUCUCCACCUGUGAAUCUUUUGUAGACCUUGGGUAUCUCUCUGAUUGCUUUUUAGCAGUCAGGAUUUGAGAAUUGACUUUCUGUCUCUUCUUACAUUUCCAGGUCUAUGUUUUUUCAAAUACCCUAAUGUAUGUUUAUAGAAUGUAAUUAAUAGGCCUUUGUGCCUAUAAAUUGAUACAACUUUCAGCAACGGAUCUCUUGGCUCUCGCAUCGAUGAAGAACGCAGCGAAAUGCGAUAAGUAAUGUGAAUUGCAGAAUUCAGUGAAUCAUCGAAUCUUUGAACGCACCUUGCGCUCCUUGGUAUUCCGAGGAGCAUGCCUGUUUGAGUGUCAUUAAUAUAUCAACCUUUUUGGUUGGAUGUGGGGGUUUGCUGGCCACUUUUUGAGGUCAAGCUCCCCUUAAAUUCAUUAGCAGACGACAUUUUGCCAAACGUUUAUUGGUGUGAUAAUUAUCUACACUAUUGACGUGAAGCARGGGUUCAGCUUCUAACAGUCCAUUGACUUGGACAAAUUUUAUUUAUUAAUGUGACCUCAAAUCAGGUAGGACUACCCGCUGAACUUAA